CUUUGCUUUCUACUCUUCUCACUGAACAAACUCAUUUUACUCAGUCUCUCCUCAUACAUCAUGUACUUCAACCCUCUUACAAUUGAAAGUGGGAACUCUUGCCCUCUGUUCCCCUCCUGAACCUCUCCAGUCCCCGUGGGUUCAUUCAUUUGCUAUGUCUCCUUGAGCCAACUGCCUACUUUGGGCUUGGACUGCGCACAAUGUUAAUGAGAAUGUUUUUUGCUCUCUCUUUUUUCCCCCCCUUUUUUCUUUUUUCCUGAAAGGAAAUAAAAGGAUGUUCUCUCCCAUGAGGAAUGACUCCAAACUGUGCUUUGCUUAUGCCUCAGCUCAAAACUCUGUGAGUGAGCUUGAGAGGCAAGCACAGAGCUCUGCUUCAUCUUCAAGAGUGCACACUGAAACAAUUUCCCUGUGGUUUCUCUCCUUGGUGGAGUCAAAUUCCUAGAAAACAAAAGGAAUGUUGCAACUGUGAUCACAAGGUCCAAGACUGCAGAUCUUACACACAGAUGGGAGCCGUGCUCUGAGCAGAAUGCUGAUAGCAGCUUAUCUCAGGUUUGAAUCCUCUCCUACCUUCUCUCACUGCUUCCAGCACCUGCAGUUGCUAUCCUGACAGCAAUUGUGUCAUCGUACAAGAAGCAACAUACACUAAUUUUAGAUUACCCUCCAUGAAAUAAAAAAUGUUAAAGCUCCCAUAA